GCGCGAAGCUACCGUGCGC
rnacentral:snRNA from 1 species